CCUACGGGAGGCAGCAGUGGGGAAUAUUGGACAAUGGGCGAAAGCCUGAUCCAGCCAUGCCGCGUGAGUGAUGAAGGCCUUAGUGUUGUAAAGCUCUUUUGCCCGGGAAGAUAAUGACGGUACCGGGAGAAUAAGCCCCGGCUAACUUCGUGCCAGCAGCCGCGGGUAAU
rnacentral:rRNA from 1 species